AUACGGAGGAUCCGAGCGUUAUCCGGAUUUAUUGGGUUUAAAGGGUGCGCAGGCGGCCAUUUAAGUCAGCGGUUAAAUCGUGGGGCUCAACCCCAUUCUGCCGUUGAUACUGGGUGGCUUGAUUGCGGUCGGGGUUGGCGGAAUUCGUUGUGUAGCGGUGAAAUGCAUAGAUAUGACGAAGAACACCGAUUGCGUAGGCAGCUGACCAGACCGCAAAUGACGCUCAUGCACGAAAGUGCGGGGAUCGAACAGGAUUAGAUACCCUGGUAGUCCGCACAGUAAACGAUGAAUACUUGUUUUCGGCGAUAUAAUGUCGGAGGCAAAGCGAAAGCGAUAAGUAUUCCACCUGGGGAGUACGCCGGCAACGGUGAAACUCAAAUGAAUUGACGGGG
rnacentral:rRNA from 1 species